rnacentral:lncRNA from 1 species
UGUAUGGACUGACAGCACAGAGACAGCAACGUCAGUCUGUAUGGACUGAUAGCACAGAGAUCAACAGUGGUCUGUAUGGACUGACAUAACAGCAUGAUAACACCAACAUUGGUCUGUAUGGACUGACAGCACAGAGUCCCACAUUGCUCUGUAUGGACUGACUGCACAGAGACCCACUUCGGUGUCUAUGGACUGACAGCACAGAGACACCAACGUCGGUCUGUACUGACUGACUGCACAGAGACCCACAUUGGUGUAUAUGGACUGAUAGCACAGAGACCCACAUCGGUCUGUAUGGACUGACAGCACAGAGACACCGAUGUCAGUCUGUAUGGACUGACAGCACAGAGAUCAACAGUGGUCUGUAUGGACUGACAUAACAGCAUGAUAACACCAACAUUGGUCUGUAUGGACUGACAGCACAGGGACACCAACGUUGGUCUGUACCCACUGAUAGAACACCAUAAUAACACCAACAUCAGUGUGUAUGGACUGACAGCACAGAGACCAACAUUGGUCUGUAUGGACUGAUAGCACAGAGAUCAACAUUGCUCUGUAUGGACUGACAUAACAGCAUAACACCAACAUUGGAGUGUAUGGACUGACUGCACAGGGACCCACAUCAGUGUGUAUGGACUGACAGCACAGAGACCAACAUUGGUCUGUAUGGACUGAUAGCACAGAGAUCAACAUUGCUCUGUAUGGACUGACAUAACAGCAUAACACCAACAUUGGAGUGUAUGGACUGACUGCACAGGGACCCACAUCGGCCUGUAUGGACUGACAGCACAGAGAUCAACAGUGGUCUGUAUGGACUGACUGCACAGAGACCCACAUCGGUCUGUAUGGACUGACAGCACAGAGACCAGCAUUGGUGUGUAUGGACUGACAUAACAGUGUGAUAACACCAAUGUCAGUCUGUACCCACUGAUAUAACAUCAUAAUAACACCAACAUCAGUGUGUAUGGACUGAUAUAACGCUGUGAUAACACCAAUGUCAGUCUGUGCCCAUUGAUAUAACACCGUGAUAACACCAACAUCAGUGUGUAUGGACUGAUAUAACGCUGUGAUAACACCAAUGUCAGUCUGUACCCACUGAUAUAACAUCAUAACACCAACAUCAGUGUGUAUGGACUGCUAUAAUGCUGUGAUAACACCAGUGUCAGUCUGUGCCCAUUGAUAUAACACCGUGAUAACACCAACAUCAGUGUGUAUGGACUGAUAUAACACCGUGAUACCACCAACGUCAGUCUGUAUGGACUGACAGCACAGAGACACCGACGUUGGUCUGUAAGGACUGACGUAACAGCAUGAAAGCACCAACAUCAGUCUGUUCUGACUGACAUAACACCACGAGGACACCAACAUCAGUCUGUUCCGACUGACACAACAGCAUGGCAGCACCAAUAUCGGCCUGUAUGGACUGCUGUAACACUGUGAUGGCCCCAAUGUCAGCCUGUUCUGACUGACAUAACACCGUGAUGACCCCAAUGUCAGCCUGUUCCGACUGACAUAACACCAUGAGGACCCCAAUGUCAGCCUGGUCCAACUGACACCCCAUGGCAGCACCAACACCAGGCUGUACUGACUGACAUAACACCAUGAGGACAGCAGCAUCAGGCUGUAUUGACUGACAUAACAGCAUGGCAGCACCAAUAUCGGCCUGUAUGGACUGUUGUAACACUGUGAUGGCCCCAAUGUCAGCCUGUACUGCCUGAUAUAACACCACGAUAACACUGACAUCAGCCUGUACUGCCUGAUAUAACACCAUAGCACUGACAUCAGCCUGUACUGCCUGAUAUAACACUGUGAUAACACUGACAUCAGCCUGUACUGCCUGAUAUAACACCGUGAUAACACUGACAUCAGCCUGUACUGCCUGAUAUAACACCGUGAUAACACUGACAUCAGCCUGUACUGCCUGAUAUAACACUGUGAUAACACUGACAUCAGCCUGUACUGCCUGAUAUAACACCAUAACACUGACAUCAGCCUGUACUGCCUGAUAUAACACCAUGAUAACACUGACAUCAGCCUGUACUGCCUGAUAUAACACCAUAACACUGACAUCAGCCUGUACUGCCUGAUAUAACACCACGAUAACACUGACAUCAGCCUGUACUGCCUGAUAUAACACCACGAUAACACUGACAUCAGCCUGUACUGCCUGAUAUAACACUGUAUAACACUGACAUCAGCCUGUACUGCCUGAUAUAACACCAUGAUAACACUGACAUCAGCCUGUACUGCCUGAUAUAACACCAUAACACUGACAUCAGCCUGUACUGCCUGAUAUAACACCAUGAUAACACUGACAUCAGCCUGUACUGCCUGAUAUAACACUG